rnacentral:rRNA from 1 species
UACAGAGGUCUCAAGCGUUGUUCGGAUUCAUUGGGCGUAAAGGGUGUGUAGGUGGCGCCGUAAGUCGGGUGUGAAAUUUCGGAGCUUAACUCCGAAACUGCAUUCGAUACUGCGGUGCUUGAGGACUGGAGAGGAGACUGGAAUUCAUGGUGUAGCAGUGAAAUGCGUAGAGAUCAUGAGGAAGACCAGUGGCGAAGGCGGGUCUCUGGACAGUUCCUGACACUGAGACACAAAGGCCAGGGGAGCAAACGGG